UUGCAGAAGAAGCCAAGAGAAAGAUAGCUUCAAAAGCUAAGGCAAGCAAGUCGAAGGCGGCUAAGAGACCUAGGAGGAAGAAGGUUGAUUUGAAUGUCGCAAUUGCUACAUCGAGGUCUAAGGAGCUGAACUUGAAUGGUGUAGGCGAAGGAGAAUUUUCAGGGAUGACGGCUACACAAAGUGCGGG